rnacentral:rRNA from 1 species
UACGUAGGGGGCAAGCGUUGUCCGGAUUUAUUGGGCGUAAAGAGCGUGUAGGCGGCCAUACAGGUCCGUUGUGAAAACUCGAGGCUUAACCUCGAGACGUCGAUGGAAACCGUAUGGCUAGAGUCCGGAAGAGGAGAGUGGAAUUCCUGGUGUAGCGGUGAAAUGCGCAGAUAUCAGGAAGAACACCCGUGGCGAAGGCGGCUCUCUGGGACGGUACUGACGCUGAGGCGCGAAAGCGUGGGGAGCGAACAGG